rnacentral:rRNA from 1 species
GAUGAACGCUGGCGGCGUGCCUAAUACAUGCAAGUCGAGCGAACGGACGAGAAGCUUGCUUCUCUGAUGUUAGCGGCGGACGGGUGAGUAACACGUGGAUAACCUACCUAUAAGACUGGGAUAACUUCGGGAAACCGUAGCUAAUACCGGAUAAUAUUUUGAACCGCAUGGUUCAAAAGUGAAAGACGGUCUUGCUGUCACUUAUAGAUGGAUCCGCGCUGCAUUAGCUAGUUGGUAAGGUAACGGCUUACCAAGGCAACGAUGCAUAGCCGACCUGAGAGGGUGAUCGGCCACACUGGAACUGAGACACGGUCCAGAAUCCUACGGGAGGCAGCAGUAGGGAAUCUUCCGCAAUGGGCGAAAGCCUGACGGAGCAACGCCGCGUGAGUGAUGAAGGUCUUCGGAUCGUAAAACUCUGUUAUUAGGGAAGAACAUAUGUGUAAGUAACUGUGCACAUCUUGACGGUACCUAAGCAGAAAGCCACGGCUAACUACGU